AUGCGUAGAUAUCUGAAGGAACAUCAAUGGCGAAGGCAGCUUUCUGGACUAAUACUGACACUGAGGUACGAAAGCGUGGGUAGCAAACAGGAUUAGAUACCCUGGUAGUCCACGCCGUAAACGAUGACAACUAGCCGUUGGGAGGGUUUACCUCUUAGUGGCGAAGCUAACGCGUUAAGUUGUCCGCCUGGGGAGUACGGCCGCAAGGUUAAAACUCAAAGGAAUUGACGGGGACCCGCACAAGCGGUGGAGCAUGUGGUUUAAUUCGAUGCAACGCGAAGAACCUUACCUGGUCUUGACAUACACGGAACUUUCCAGAGAUGGAUUGGUGCCUUCGGGAACCGUGAUACAGGUGCUGCAUGGCUGUCGUCAGCUCGUGUCGUGAGAUGUUGGGUUAAGUCCCGUAACGAGCGCAACCCUUAUCCUUAUUUGCCAGCACAUCAUGGUGGGAACUAUAAGGAGACUGCCGGUGAUAAACCGGAGGAAGGCGGGGACGACGUCAAGUCAUCAUGGCCCUUACGACCAGGGCUACACACGUGCUACAAUGGGAAGGACAAAGGGUUGCUAAGCCGCGAGGUGGUGCUAAUCUCAUAAACCUUUUCGUAGUCCGGAUCGGAGUCUGCAACUCGACUCCGUGAAGUCGGAAUCGCUAGUAAUCGUGGAUCAGAACGCCACGGUGAAUACGUUCCCGGGUCUUGUACACACCGCCCGUCAUACCAUGGAAGUGGGU
rnacentral:rRNA from 1 species